AGAGCGGGUCACGUGAGCGCCUCGCCUGGAUGUGAGUUUCAGCCAGACCUGUGGAUAUCUGGGCUUUGGGCUGUAUGAUCAUUGAGAUGGCCACUGGAAAUCCCUAUCUUCCUAGUAGUUCUGAUUUGGAUUUACUCCAUAAAAUUGUUUUGAAAGUGGGCAAUUUGUCACCUCACUUGCAGAAUAUCUUUUCCAAGAGCCCCAUUUUUGCUGGGGUAGUUCUUCCUCAAGUUCAACACCCCAAAAAUGCAAGAAAAAAAUACCCAAAGCUUAAUGGAUUGUUGGCAGAUAUAGUUCAUAGACGGGGUUUCACCAUGUUGGCUAUGGUUGGCCAGGCUGGUCUUGAACUCCUGAGCUUAGGUGAUCCGCCCACCUCAGCCUCCCAAAGUGCUGGGAUUACAGGCAUGAGUCACCGCGCCCAGGCAGUUCAUG
rnacentral:sRNA from 1 species